UGGUAGUCUAUGUAUACCUGUAAUCCCUGCUACUGGGGUAGACUGAGGAUGGUAGAUCACUUGAGCUCAGAAGUUCUGGGCUGCACUAGGUUAAGCCAUUAGGGUAUCUACACUGAGUCAGGCACCAAUAUGGUGAGCUCCUGGAAGUGAAGGCAACAACACUAGGUUGCCUAAGGAGAAGCGAACCAGCUCAGGCUGGAAACAGCCAGUCAAAGCUGCCAUGUCAAACAAGAGUGGGAAUAGGCCUGUGAGAGGCUGUUGUACUUCCAGCCUUGGCAAGUUAGGGAGACCCACUCUCC
rnacentral:SRP_RNA from 1 species